GCCUCGUAGCGUGGUGGAUAGCGCGCAGGACUCGUAAUUCUGCGGCGCGGGUUCGAUUCCCGCGACGAGGCA
rnacentral:tRNA from 1 species